AACUAACGCUGGCGGCGUGCCUAACACAUGCAAGUCGAACGAGAAAGUUGGCUUCGGCCGAUGAGUAAAGUGGCGCACGGGUGAGUAACGCGUGGAUAAUCUGCCCUUUAGUUUGGAAUAACGUACCGAACGGUGCGCUAAUACCGGAUAAUACUGAAUGACUACUGUCGUUUAGUCAAAGAACGCUUCUGUUUACAUUCUUUUGCUGAAUGAUGAUUCGUGGUACCAUUGGCUAGUUGGUAGGGUAAUGGCCUACCAAGGCGACGAUGGUUAGCUGGUCUGAGAGGAUGAUCAGCCACACUGGAACUGAGACACGGUCCAGACUCCUACGGGAGGCAGCAGUGAGGAAUAUUGAGCAAUGGGGGCAACCCUGACGCAGCAACGCCGCGUGUGUGAGGAAGGUUUUCGGACCGUAAAGCUCUGUCGAGCGGGAAGAAAUGCAUGGUGGCUAAUAUCCAUCAUGCUUGACGGUACCGCUAAAGGAAGCACCGGCUAACUCCGUGCCAGCAGCCGCCGUAAAAC
rnacentral:rRNA from 1 species